rnacentral:rRNA from 1 species
AUUGAACGCUGGCGGCAUGCCUUACACAUGCAAGUCGAACGGUAACGGGCCUUCGGGUGCCGACGAGUGGCGAACGGGUGAGUAAUACAUCGGAACGUGCCCGAUCGCGGGGGAUAACGAGGCGAAAGCUUUGCUAAUACCGCAUACGAUCUACGGAUGAAAGCAGGGGACCGCAAGGCCUUGCGCGGACGGAGCGGCCGAUGGCAGAUUAGGUAGUUGGUGGGAUAAAAGCUUACCAAGCCGACGAUCUGUAGCUGGUCUGAGAGGAUGAUCCGCCACACUGGGACUGAGACACGGCCCAGACUCCUACGGGAGGCAGCAGUGGGGAAUUUUGGACAAUGGGCGCAAGCCUGAUCCAGCCAUGCCGCGUGCAGGAUGAAGGCCUUCGGGUUGUAAACUGCUUUUGUACGGAACGAAAAGCCUUCUUUUAAUACAGGAGGGUCAUGACGGUACCGUAAGAAUAAGCACCGGCUAACUACGUG